rnacentral:rRNA from 1 species
UACGGAGGAUGCGAGCGUUAUCCGGAUUUAUUGGGUUUAAAGGGUGCGUAGGUGGACUGUCAAGUCAGCGGUAAAAUUGAGAGGCUCAACCUCUUCCCGCCGUUGAAACUGGUGGUCUUGAGUGGAUGAGAAGUACGCGGAAUGCGUGGUGUAGCGGUGAAAUGCAUAGAUAUCACGCAGAACUCCGAUUGCGAAGGCAGCGUACCGGCAUCCAACUGACGCUGAGGCACGAAAGCGUGGGGAUCAAACAGG